CCCGCGACAUGCUGAUUCGCGAUUACUAGCAACUCCGGCUUCAUGCAGGCGAGUUUCAGCCUGCAAUCCGAACUGGGAUGAGUUUUAUGAGAUUUGCUCCACCUCGCGGUCUCGCGUCUCUUUGUUCUCACCAUUGUAGCACGUGUGUAGCCCUAGACAUAAGGGGCAUGAUGAUUUGACGUCAUCCCCACCUUCCUCCCGGUUAACCCGGGCAGUCUCUUUAGAGUGCUCAACUGAAUGGUAGCAACUAAAAAUAAGGGUUGCGCUCGUUGCGGGACUUAACCCAACAUCUCACGACACGAGCUGACGACAACCAUGCACCACCUGUCUUCCUGCCCCGAAGGGCUUCCCCGGUUAAGGGUAAUUCAGGAGAUGUCAAGUCUAGGUAAGGUUCUUCGCGUUGCUUCGAAUUAAACCACAUGCUCCGCUGCUUGUGCGGGCCCCCGUCAAUUCCUUUGAGUUUUAGUCUUGCGACCGUACUCCCCAGGCGGGGUACUUAUUGUGUUAACGACGGCACAGAAGGGGUCGAUACCUCCUACACCUAGUACCCAUCGUUUACGGCGUGGACUACCAGGGUAUCUAAUCCUGUUUGCUACCCACGCUUUCAUGCCUCAGUGUCAGUUACAGUCCAGAAAGCCGCCUUCGCCACUGGUGUUCCUCCUAAUAUCUACGCAUUUCACCGCUACACUAGGAAUUCCGCUUUCCUCUCCUGCACUCUA
rnacentral:rRNA from 1 species